rnacentral:rRNA from 1 species
CCUACGGGUUGCAGCAGUGGGGAAUAUUGGACAAUGGGGGGAACCCUGAUCCAGCCAUGCCGCGUGUGUGAAGAAGGCCUUAUGGUUGUAAAGCACUUUAAGCGAGGAGGAGGCUCUUUUAGUUAAUACCCAAGAUGAGUGGACGUUACUCGCAGAAUAAGCACCGGCUAACUCUGUGCCAGCAGCCGCGGUAAUACAGAGGGUGCGAGCGUUAAUCGGGCUUACUGGGCGUAAAGUGUGCGUAGGCGGCUUUUUAAGUCGGAUGUGAAAUCCCCGGGCUUAACUUGGGAAUUGCAUUCGAUACUGGGAAGCUAGAGUAUGGGAGAGGAUGGUAGAAUUCCAGGUGUAGCGGUGAAAUGCGUAGAGAUCUGGAGGAAUACCGAUGGCGAAGGCAGCCAUCUGGCCUAAUACUGACGCUGAGGUACGAAAGCAUGGGGAGCAAACAGGAUUAGAUACCCGAGUAGUC